rnacentral:misc_RNA from 1 species
AGAUUGGGAUUUGGAAAAGAUUGUUUGAGAGUGAUAGAUGUUCGAGAUUUUUUAAACCCCUAAGUGGAGAUGAAGAGAUGUUCCCAAUAAAGUGAUUGGAAGAGAGAUCUAGCCAUUGAAGGGAUGUCAAAUUCACUAGACACAAAGGCAAGCUACCACUGAAAUCAUUGUAGCUAAUAUCUAGCAUUUGGAGAUGUAUUAAUUCGCACAAACCUUGGUUUAGAAACGUUGUACUAUCAAGUCCACAAUUGUGCAAUGAUAAUGUUUGAAGGGAGGACAACUCUCCAAUUGAUUGUAGAAAAUUACUGUUGACAAUAGAGUAACCCAAAUACAAAUACUCCAAAUCCUUCAGAUGUGGCAAGCCUUGGAUUGGUAGGGUGCAAUUCAAUUCACCUAAAGACAAAACCCUAAGAGAAGAUAAUACUUCAAGACUUUGGAGAAGGUUUUCAUCCAGGGAAGACCCGUCUAAAUACAGCUCUUUCACAUUUAUCACUUUAGAACCUUGAUCAAAUAUUGUCCCUUUGAAAUUACUCCCUGUCAUAUAUAGGGUCUUGAGUUGGGCCAAUGCUCCCAAUGACAAUAUUGUCCCUUUGAAAUUACUGUAUCUCAGAUAGAGGUUCUUGAGAUGGGUCAAUGCUCCCAAUGAUUCUAAUAGCAUGCUUCUUCCUUCUACGGUGAUGUCAUCUAAAUAAAGGAUGCUCAAAUUUUUUGGACUUCUGAUUUCUCUUGAGCUGAUAAAUUUUGUAAUGUUAUUUCCGCUCAAAUUCAGCUCCUCUAGAUUGCUCAUAGUAUCUAAUUCUGUCAAAUUGAGUGGUCCUUUCAAUAGAUUAUAUCCUAUCCAUAGAGUUUUGAGAGAUGAGAGCCCCUUAAUGGAGGGUAAAAUAUCAUUACUAAAGUUAUUGUAACUCAAAUAAAGAUACUCUAGAUUGCUCAUAUUUAGUAAUUUUUCACCACCAUGUAAAGAUUUAAAGCCUUCAAUUUCGUUGCCCGGUAUAUCCAACA